rnacentral:rRNA from 1 species
AUUGAACGCUGGCGGAAUGCUUUACACAUGCAAGUCGAACGGCAGCACGGACUUCGGUCUGGUGGCGAGUGGCGAACGGGUGAGUAAUAUAUCGGAACGUAUCCAAUAAUGGGGGAUAACUAAUCGAAAGGUUGGCUAAUACCGCAUACGUCCUACGGGAGAAAGCUAGGGACCUUCGGGCCUGGCGUUAAUGGAGCGGCCGAUAUCUGAUUAGCUAGUUGGUGAGGUAAAGGCUCACCAAGGCGACGAUCAGUAGCUGGUCUGAGAGGACGACCAGCCACACUGGAACUGAGACACGGUCCAGACUCCUACGGGAGGCAGCAGUGGGGAAUUUUGGACAAUGGGCGCAAGCCUGAUCCAGCCAUUCCGCGUGAGUGAAGAAGGCCUUCGGGUUGUAAAGCUCUUUCGCAAGGGAAGAAAACUUAGUUACUAAUAUUAACAGAGGUUGACGGUACCUUGAUAAGAAGCACCGGCUAACUACGUGCCAGCCGCCGCAGUAAGAC